AGAGUUUGAUCCUGGCUCAGGACGAACGCUGGCGGCGCGCCUAACACAUGCAAGUCGAACGAGCGAGAGAGAGCUUGCUUUCUCGAGCGAGUGGCGAACGGGUGAGUAACGCGUGAGGAACCUGCCUCAAAGAGGGGGACAACAGUUGGAAACGACUGCUAAUACCGCAUAAGCCCACGGGUCGGCAUCGACCAGAGGGAAAAGGAGCAAUCCGCUUUGAGAUGGCCUCGCGUCCGAUUAGCUAGUUGGUGAGGUAAUGGCCCACCAAGGCGACGAUCGGUAGCCGGACUGAGAGGUUGAACGGCCACAUUGGGACUGAGACACGGCCCAGACUCCUACGGAGGCA
rnacentral:rRNA from 1 species